rnacentral:rRNA from 1 species
UUUAAAGAGAGUUUGAUCCUGGCUCAGGACGAACGCUGGCGGCGUGCCUAAUACAUGCAAGUCGAACGAACGGAGGAAGAGCUUGCUCUUCCAAAGUUAGUGGCGGACGGGUGAGUAACACGUGGGCAACCUGCCUGUAAGUUGGGGAUAACUCCGGGAAACCGGGGCUAAUACCGAAUGAUAAAGUGUGGCGCAUGCCACGCUUUUGAAAGAUGGUUUCGGCUAUCGCUUACAGAUGGGCCCGCGGUGCAUUAGCUAGUUGGUAGGGUAAUGGCCUACCAAGGCAACGAUGCAUAGCCGACCUGAGAGGGUGAUCGGCCACACUGGGACUGAGACACGGCCCAGACUCCUACGGGAGGCAGCAGUAGGGAAUCUUCCGCAAUGGACGAAAGUCUGACGGAGCAACGCCGCGUGUAUGAAGAAGGUUUUCGGAUCGUAAAGUACUG